rnacentral:lncRNA from 1 species
CCUGCCUUCCCUUCUCCUCUUCAGGCUUACUUGCAGAGCACCAGAAAGUGGGAAGUGGCAGGCACUGAAGAAGGGGCACCAGUUCUGGAUAAUUCUGAUGUUUCCCAGCCUUGGAUGUCUAGAAUAAGCAUGAUUCAUAGUGGGAAUGUGGAACCUUUACCGUGAUAGGUUUCACGUUUGCCACUCGGUGAACAAUGCUGCUGGUGAUGAACUGCUAAUCCACCAAGGGAAGACUGUGGGACCCUCUCUACCCUUUAGGACUUUGAGAAAAAUUAUUUAGUUGGUAUCUUUUAACUAUAAUCCACCAAGGUUGGCUUGAAAGAACUCUAAAAGUCAUUUCCAAGUGGAUAUUUAUAGAUUGCUUAAGAGUCAAGGGGAAAAGAAAAUAGUAUACAACAGGGCUCUGUCUUUGUUUGCUUAAGAAUAAAGUAGAAAUCUGGGGAUUGCCUCCA